CCUACGGGCGGCUGCAGUGGGGAAUAUUGCACAAUGGGCGCAAGCCUGAUGCAGCCAUGCCGCGUGUGUGAAGAAGGCCUUCGGGUUGUAAAGCACUUUCAGCGGGGAGGGAGGCGGUGAGGUUAAUAACCUCAUCGAUUGACGUUACCCGCAGAAGAAGCACCGGCUAACUCCGUGCCAGCAGCCGCGGUAAUACGGAGGGUGCAAGCGUUAAUCGGAAUUACUGGGCGUAAAGCGCACGCAGGCGGUCUGUCAAGUCGGAUGUGAAAUCCCCGGGCUCAACCUGGGAACUGCAUUCGAAACUGGCAGGCUAGAGUCUUGUAGAGGGGGGUAGAAUUCCAGGUGUAGCGGUGAAAUGCGUAGAGAUCUGGAGGAAUACCGGUGGCGAAGGCGGCCCCCUGGACAAAGACUGACGCUCAGGUGCGAAAGCGUGGGGAGCAAACAGGAGUAGAUACCCUAGUAGUC
rnacentral:rRNA from 1 species